rnacentral:tRNA from 1 species
GCCCGGUUAGCUCAAUCGGUAGAGCGUGAGACUCUUAUACUCUUGUAGAGGUAAAUCUCAAGGUUGCGGGUUCGACCCCCGCAUCGGGCU